AAAUGUUGUCAUCCGCUGACGUCAACUCAUAGCAAAACCUAGUCAUGAAGAGGCCAGACUGGGGUCAGCAUGUCAGACACCUGAACACCACCGAGCCCUCCCCUUCUUCCCGCUCGUCCAGUUCCCCUAAGCUCUCCGCUCUACCUACCCCUCUGCGUCUGCGUACUUGUGAGCAUAAGCCCCAAAUUGGAUUACACAUGAAGUGAAGAAUGAGGUCCUCGCUCUGAAACAACAGCUUACCGAAUCCACUACAGUUCCUGUAGUGACGGUGAACUCAAGGGGACAUGCGACAGUGUUUGGCUAGUAACCACAAAUUCAGUGAAUCUCAGAUCUGGCCAUUUUACAGCCAUGGCAGUGAGUGGAUGGCACCUCCUGUGCCCGUGCCUGGCCUGAACAUAAAGCAUGCAUACAUUCAGACAUGUUUAUGUGCUCCAUAUACGUAUGUUUCUCCCCCUAAAAUGUAAACCUCAAAGAGACAGUGGUUGCACUCCUGAGCCAACAACACGCACGUGAAGGAGAUGCAUUCAUAAAGUUGUCAGUGAUUUGGUCUAGACAGGGUCUACUACGGCGAUAUGUAAACACUCUUUGUGUUAGGAAGCACCCUGUUAAAUUUAGGUAUGGCUUCCACCAUCAGCAUCAAAUGGUUGUUUUAUUACUGUAGGUCUGCAGAAGGCCGCAAUGAUCCGUUUAAAAAAAAGUGAAAGAGACUGCUGAGUUGCUUAGAUCUGUUGAGCAGUAUGGAUU